CUCCAGACAGAUGCCUGAAGCCUAACAACAGCUGAGCAACAUGGAACCAGCAAUGUGGAACAGACUGCUAUGAAAAGAGGGAAGCGAAGACUGCUUUAUAAGGUGUCAACACGGCCCUUCUGCCACUUCCCUGCCCCUCUGCUGCAGUCCUGGCCCAAGGAUGGACAGAAUCUAUUCAGCCCAGGCCUGGGGCAUGGCUCUGAAAGGUAGAGCCUGCAAAUCUGCUGAAUAAACAAACUAAUAGGAGAUUUCAUGGUUUCCCAGCCCCCUACCCAGAGCUCCAGAGCUGUUGUAUCACCUGAAACAGGAAGCAGCGGAGAACAGAGGAUAGAAGCACAACACCUGACUCCUGCUCCUCCAGCAAACGAGCCUCCCAGGCCCUUGCAUUUGCUCUUCUCCCUCCUGGAAUGCCCUGUCCCCAGCUUUUCAGAAGACAAGCUCAUCUCACCCUGCAUUUCUGCUGUAACAUCCUCUUGAGAGAAGCCUUCGGUGACCUCCCAAUGCAGUGGCUCCCACAGUGACCUCUACAUCAUCACCCUCACUCCUAUGCAGCAGUCUCGUCUGUUACCUAUUCACCUGUUAGUUGUCUGUUACCUGUUCACCUGUUAGUUGUCUGUUUCCUUCACUAGGAUGGAAGCUCCCUGAGACCAGGGCCAAGUCUAUCUUAUUCACCGUGGCAUCUGCAGCAACCAGCCCAGGGCCAGACCCUUGAUCAUGGAAGAACUUCCACAUCUCCUGGAAC